rnacentral:rRNA from 1 species
CUACGGGCUGCUGCAGUGAGGAAUUUUGCGCAAUGGGGGGAACCCUGACGCAGCAACGCCGUGUGAGUGAAGAAGGCCUUUGGGUCGUAAAGCUCUGUCAACUGGGAAGAAGUUACUGUGCUUUAAUAGAGUGCAGUAUUGACGGUACCAGUGGAGGAAGCGUCGGCUAACUCCGUGCCAGCAGCCGCGGUAACACGGGGGACGCAAGCGUUAUUCGGAAUUAUUGGGCGUAAAGGGCGCGUAGGCGGUCUUGUCGGUCAGGUGUGAAAGCCCGGGGCUCAACCCCGGACGUGCACUUGAAACAGCAAGACUUGAGUACGGGAGAGGAAAGCGGAAUUCCUGGUGUAGAGGUGACAUUCGUAGAUAUCAGGAGGAACACCGAUGGCGAAGGCAGCUUUCUGGACCGAAACUGACGCUGAGGCGCGAAGGCGUGGGUAGCGAACGGGAUUAGAUACCCUCGUAGUC